GACGAACGCUGGCGGCGUGCUUAACACAUGCAAGUCGAACGGAAAGGCCCUGCUUUUGUGGGGUGCUCGAGUGGCGAACGGGUGAGUAACACGUGAGUAACCUGCCCUUGACUUUGGGAUAACUUCAGGAAACUGGGGCUAAUACCGGAUAGGUGCUCCUGCUGCAUGGUGGGGGUUGGAAAGUUUCGGCGGUUGGGGAUGGACUCGCGGCUUAUCAGCUUGUUGGUGGGGUAGUGGCUUACCAAGGCUUUGACGGGUAGCCGGCCUGAGAGGGUGACCGGCCACAUUGGGACUGAGAUACGGCCCAGACUCCUACGGGAGGCAGCAGUGGGGAAUAUUGCACAAUGGGCGGAAGCCUGAUGCAGCAACGCCGCGUGCGGGAUGACGGCCUUCGGGUUGUAAACCGCUUUCGCCUGUGACGAAGCGUGAGUGACGGUAAUGGGUGAAGAAGCACCGGCUAACUACGUG
rnacentral:rRNA from 1 species